rnacentral:rRNA from 1 species
GAUGAACGCUAGCGGCAGGCCUAAUACAUGCAAGUCGAACGGGAUUAAGGAGCUUGCUUCUUAUGAGAGUGGCGCACGGGUGCGUAACACGUAUGCAACCUACCUUCAACUGGGGGAUAGCCUUCCGAAAGGGAGAUUAAUACCGCAUAACAUAAUUGAGUGGCAUCACCUGAUUAUCAAACGUCAGGGUUGAAGAUGGGCAUGCGUCCGAUUAGUUAGUUGGUGAGGUAACGGCUCACCAAGGCUACGAUCGGUAGGGGAUCUGAGAGGAUGGCCCCCCACACUGGUACUGAGACACGGACCAGACUCCUACGGGAGGCAGCAGUAAGGAAUAUUGGACAAUGGACGGAAGUCUGAACCAGCCAGGCCGCGUGCAGGAAGACGGUCCUCUGGAUUGUAAACUGCUUGUGUUAGGGAAGAAACUGCCGUACGUGUACGGGACUGACGGUACCUAAAGAAUAAGGAUCGGCUAACUCCGUGCCAGCAGCCGCCGUAAGAC